AGAUUGAACGCUGGCGGCAGGCCUAACACAUGCAAGUCGAGCGGUAGAGAGGUGCUUGCACCUCUUGAGAGCGGCGGACGGGUGAGUAAUGCCUAGGAAUCUGCCUAGUGGUGGGGGAUAACGUUCGGAAACGGACGCUAAUACCGCAUACGUCCUACGGGAGAAAGCGGGGGACCUUCGGGCCUCGCGCCAUUGGAUGAGCCUAGGUCGGAUUAGCUAGUUGGUGAGGUAAUGGCUCACCAAGGCGACGAUCCGUAACUGGUCUGAGAGGAUGAUCAGUCACACUGGAACUGAGACACGGUCCAGACUCCGUACGGGAGCAGCAGUGGGGAAUAGUUGGACAAUGGG
rnacentral:rRNA from 1 species